rnacentral:rRNA from 1 species
AUGCUACUGCGUAAUCUUAAUCCAUCAAGGGGACUUUGUAAUGGCACUAGACUCAUUGUUACACAACUGACUGGUCGUGUCAUUGAAGGAGAAAUCAUAACAGGGAAGGCUAUAGGUUCAAGAGUGUAUAUUCCUCGAAUUGUCACUACGUCAUCUCAGUCUAAGUGGCCUUUCAAAUUGAGGCGUCGCCAGUUUGCUGUUCGCCUUUCAUAUGCUAUGACAAUAAACAAAAGUCAGGGGCAAACACUAAACCGAGUUGGUGUCUACUUGCCAUCUAAUGUCUUCUGACACGGUCAAUUAUAUGUGGCAUUUUCAAGAGUUACAUCACGAGACGGCUUGCGAGUUUUCAUUGAAAAUAGCCCAGUUUCUUAUGAGCAUUGCACACAUAAUGUAGUAUAUGUCGAGGUAUUCAAUCAAAUUAAUACACAUAGAAGCUAA